rnacentral:rRNA from 1 species
UUUAUUUUACCUUGUUGCUUCGGCGGGCCCGCCUUAACUGGCCGCCGGGGGGCUUACGCCCCCGGGCCCGCGCCCGCCGAAGACACCCUCGAACUCUGUCUGAAGAUUGUAGUCUGAGUGAAAAUAUAAAUUAUUUAAAACUUUCAACAACGGAUCUCUUGGUUCCGGCAUCGAUGAAGAACGCAGCGAAAUGCGAUACGUAAUGUGAAUUGCAAAUUCAGUGAAUCAUCGAGUCUUUGAACGCACAUUGCGCCCCCUGGUAUUCCGGGGGGCAUGCCUGUCCGAGCGUCAUUGCUGCCCUCAAGCACGGCUUGUGUGUUGGGCCCCGUCCUCCGAUCCCGGGGGACGGGCCCGAAAGGCAGCGGCGGCACCGCGUCCGGUCCUCGAGCGUAUGGGGCUUUGUCACCCGCUCUGUAGGCCCGGCCGGCGCUUGCCGAUCAACCCAAAUUUUUAUCCAGGUUGACCUCGGAUCAGGUAGGGAUACCCGCUGAACUUAAGCAUAUCAAUAAGC